rnacentral:lncRNA from 1 species
GGUUGCAAGUUUAAGGCCGCCGCAGAAGCUCUCAUGGUGCAGCCCUGUCAGAUUCCAGCGAAUCUGUGAAUUCUGCU